CUCUAGGCUCUGAGCUGUCAGUGCAGAGCCUGAUGCAGGGCUCAAACUCACAAACUGUGAGAUCAUGACCUGAGCCCAAGUCAGACACUUAACCGACUGAGCCACUCAGGUGCCCCUAUUAAAUCCAUUUUAAACUGAGUGUACAUAUACUUUGAAGAAUAACUUAAGUAAUUAAGUAUUUUUAAAAAACAUCCUUAGUUUUCAGUGUUUUUAAUAAAACAUGUCACAGAAAUAAGGUUAUUAGUAGGUUAGCAUAUAUCAACUCAAGUAUUUAAGAUUCAACUUACUGCUACCUGGGCAUUCCACAGAAGCUCUCUGAAGUUUAGAUGUCUCUGCUUCCACAGAAUCAAGUAUACACUUACUUGGUUGAGAAUGUUAAAUGCUAUUAACUUCAUCUCCCCCACCCAACCCAACUAAUAUUCCUGAAACUAUUUUAACAAAUCCUCUUGUCUGUCAACAUGUCUCACGUUCCAUCUGUUGGUUUAAGAGUCAGCUCAAAUCCUUUAAGUCCUUUCUGGCCCACAACCUUUUGUUUUGUUUUGUUUUGUUUCCAAAAAACCUAAAAUGUGGAUUUUCACCAUUCCCUGGCAGUUAAAUCACAUUCUGUCUUGUUAUAUUUCUUCUCUUGCAUUUAUUAUACCAGUUAACUGGCACUGAGCAAAUCAUAAUACAUCCUUUGUUCUCAAGUUAUGAGUUGAGUGAUUUCUGGGGUUCUCUACCUUGAAGAAGAUAGUCACUGCAUUCAUAAGUUGUCUUUAAGACCUGAUUGUCAUCACUUUGAGGCCUGAAAAUACUUGUUAGAGACAAAGCAUGCUGUUUCGGCGAGAUUUGACAGAAGUCGAGAGACCUGGCUUCAAGUCUUGUCUCUGCCCCUGACUCAGAAUGUGACUACUGCCUAUCUGUACAUUGAUUUUCGUUUUUGCGAAAUGAGUGCAAGUUGAGUAGUCUAGUUGUUAGAUAAGUUACUUUGAGGAAGUUCUUGAAGUGAACAAUGAAGUUAUUUGCAACUUUAGCUUCUUGGGCAGGUUUUCUAGAACAUAAAUGCCAUGUGAAUGGAGACAAUUGUGAAGUUAGUCAUGUUGACAGUAAAUCGUGGGUGUCAUUAGGCACCAGCUUGGGUCCUCAAUCUGCUGAGAUGGAGAAGCAGGAAAAGGAAAAGGCUGUUCUGCCUUUGCUAUCCUAGUACACACUAAUGUCUGUUCUACUUUCUGACAUUCACACCCUUCACAGCAGAACCCAGAUUUUAUGUUCUCCAUCUUUUUCUUGACAGCCAUGUGCUUCAGGACAAGCUGAGACUCUUCUCACUUACUAGGGUAACUUGAAUUUUCUACUGAGAAUGGGAAUAAUAUAAGUUUGAAGAUGGUAAGAAGGAAUCAUUUUGCCAUUCUGUCCCCUUUGAAGAGGAGGAAGAAAAGGAUGGGUGAGUAAAGGGUGACAUUUGUUUAUGUCUUCUGGAAUGUUUCUCUCUUUUCUAAGUUUCUUGUUUGUGUUUUGUCAAGAUUAAAUGACAAUGUAUGUGCAAAUGCCAGUCAUAACCUAGCACAUGCAAACAGCUUGAUAUGGAAUAUUUCUUAAUGUUUAUGAAAGGGGAUUCCAGUCAAAUAACCCUACUGCUUACUAGACUAUAACUUGCAUUGUAGCUUGAAGUGUUUAUUUCGCAAAACCGUCGAGAAUGCAAUUACUUUUUUUGAUGUUUGAGCUGUCAAUGCAUGCUUUGAAGUACCUCAUUGUUGAAGGAACCAGAUGCCUUGCUAGCUUUGAGUUAUAUGCAUGCUGCAUGUAAACAUUUUUAGUUGUG